rnacentral:rRNA from 1 species
UGGGGAAUAUUGCACAAUGGGCGCAAGCCUGAUGCAGCCAUGCCGCGUGUGUGAAGAAGGCCUUCGGGUUGUAAAGCACUUUCAGCGAGGAGGAAGGUGGUGAGCUUAAUACGCUCAUCAAUUGACGUUACUCGCAGAAGAAGCACCGGCUAACUCCGUGCCAGCAGCCGCGGUAAUACGGAGGGUGCAAGCGUUAAUCGGAAUUACUGGGCGUAAAGCGCACGCAGGCGGUUUGUUAAGUCAGAUGUGAAAUCCCCGGGCUCAACCUGGGAACUGCAUUUGAAACUGGCAAGCUAGAGUCUCGUAGAGGGGGGUAGAAUUCCAGGUGUAGCGGUGAAAUGCGUAGAGAUCUGGAGGAAUACCGGUGGCGAAGGCGGCCCCCUGGACGAAGACUGACGCUCAGGUGCGAAAGCGUGGGGAGCAAAACAGGAUUAGAUACCCCGGUAGUCCACGCUGUAAAACGAUGUCGAUUUUGGAGGUUGUGCCCUUGAGGCGUGGCUUCCGGAGCUAACGCGUUAAAUCGACCGCCUGGGGAGUACGGCCGCAAGGUUAAAACUCAAAUGAAUUGACGGGGUC